rnacentral:miRNA from 1 species
CUCCAGAUGUUGCUGAACUACAACUCCCAUGAUUCUAUGAAUUACAUAGAUAGGCAGAGAAUCAUGGGAGUUGUAGUUCAGCAACAUCUGGGG